GGGGGUGUAGCUUAGUUGGUUAAAGCAAUCGGCUCAUAACCGAUGGAUCCGGGGUUCGAGUCCCUGCGCCCCUACCA
rnacentral:tRNA from 3 species